CAGUCGCCGCGGUAAUACGAAGGGGGCUAGCGUUGCUCGGAAUUACUGGGCGUAAAGGGCGCGUAGGCGGAUAUUUAAGUUGGGGGUGAAAGCCCGGGGCUCAACCCCGGAACUGCCUUUGAAACUAGGUGAUUAGAAUCUUGGAGAGGUCAGUGGAAUUCCGAGUGUAGAGGUGAAAUUCGUAGAUAUUCGGAAGAACACCAGUGGCGAAGGCGACUGACUGGACAAGUAUUGACGCUGAGGUGCGAAAGCGUGGGGAGCAAACAGGAUUAGAUACCCGAGUAGUCCCUGUCUCUUAUAA
rnacentral:rRNA from 1 species